rnacentral:misc_RNA from 1 species
AAAGACACGUCAGAUUUCGUGUUCAUUAGGAAGCUAGAAGUAGUUCUUCAAGUGCGAAGGUUUUCUCUCUGAAAACAUCAAAAUAGAAACAUGGCUUCAAACGAUAUAGGCGAUUGGUAUCGAGGAAUACCUCAGAUGACAAAAUAUUGGUUUACUGGUUCGAUCGUCGUGCCACUUGUUGCAAGACUUGGACUUAUCAACCCAGUGCACUUGAUACUUAUUUUUGAAAGAGUUGCAUAUAAUUUCCAGAUUUGGAGACCUUUAACAGCUGUUUUAUAUUUUCCAAUGUCUGGACCCUCAGGGUUUCAUUAUCUGAUGAAUUUGUAUUUCUUAUACUCAUACUCUACAAGGCUAGAAACAGGUAUUUUUGAUGGGAAGCCUGCAGAGAUGGCCUUUAUGCUGAUCUUCAACUGGCUCUGUCUUGUUAUUAUUGGAUGUGCAGCAGAUAUGAUGGUUUGCAGUGGCUUUGUUCAUUUGAUCUUGUUUUAAGUUCUCAUUCACUGAUUGUGAGAUUGACAUUAGUCUUUUACAUGACUAUACAUUUCCCUGUUGCUGUUUUAGCUACUGAUGGAUCCAAUGGUGCUUAGUGUAUUGUAUGUCUGGUGUCAACUCAACAAAGAUACAGUUGUCUCAUUCUGGUUUGGAACCCAAUUUAAGGCUAUGUAUCUCCCAUGGGUCCUGCUAGCAUUCAAUAUGAUUAUUGGACAAGGAGGGCUUUUGGAACUUGUCGGAAUUAUUGUUGGACACCUUUAUUUCUUCUUAAUGUUUAAGUAUCCCCAGGACUUUGGAGGAGCAAGGCUUUUAUCUGUCCCAAAUAUUCUGUACAAGUAUUUCCCAAAUAGAAGAGGUGGUGUUUCAGGAUUUGGAAUGGCUCCAUCAAGUCGUAGACAGACACCUGAUAAUAAUGGGGACAACCAGAGACACAACUGGGGAAGGGGAAAUAACCUUGGUGGAGACUAGAUUUGUAUAACCUCUAGUGAAAAAAGAAGACAAAAUCAUUAGGUGAUCAGUGUUUCAAGGAUGUGAUAUUUCAAUUUCACCUCUAGUCUUGAAUUUAAGUAUCCCCUUGUUGUGCAUACGGAAAAUCAACAAAACAACUAUAUUUUGUGAUCACAGGAACUGGAUAUGUGGGACAGUUCCUCUGAAAAUUUAUUGGUUCUUGGGAACUGGUUUACUAGACAUGCAUUUACAUCACAUCUUUAAUUACUAUCAAUUAUACACAUACAAAUAUCAACUAUUUAAUUGACACAGCUAUUUUACCACAAAUAAAAUAACUAUAAUAUGUUGUUCUGAGAUUCUUCAUCUUUGCAUUUUAAUUCAUAGUUUAAGAUUUCUAAUGAAUUGAUCAAUUCAUGCCUCACUUGAUUCAUACUGGUAUCAUCCUGUAGAUUGGGGAAUUUAUGUGUGUAUCCAAUCUGCUCUAUUGUAGAGAUCAUGUAAAGUUAGAAUCCAUGGAAAUUUUGUGCUUUAUAUUGGGUUAUGUUUUGAAUUUCUAUAAGAUGAAUGCUUAAAUUUAGAGAAGCAUAUUUUUGAAGUUACAUAUAUUUUGUACACACUUUAAGUCAUAAUCUAUAGAAUAACCAUGACCAAAAAAACCCUUAGUAUGCUAUUACCAGUAUAUACAUUUUUUAAUUACAACUACAUGUAGUUGAUAUGCAUAGAACCUGAUAAAUACAUGUAAGCAUACAUGUCAUGUAUGCUUAUUUAUUACUAAAAACAGCAUGGUUAAAAAUGGAAGGUUUUAUAAUACAAUUAAUUAUUAAUAUGAUUCUGUCAUGUACACAUAGAUGUAAAUUUGCUUUUGAUUUCAUAUGUACAAUGUACAUUGCUGUAGUUAUUGUGUUCAAUAAAUCAGAUUUGUAAAAUCU